GACGAACGCUGGCGGCGUGCCUAAUACAUGCAAGUCGAACGCUUCUUUCCUCCCGAGUGCUUGCACUCAAUUGGAAAGAGGAGUGGCGGACGGGUGAGUAACACGUGGGUAACCUACCCAUCAGAGGGGGAUGACACUUGGAAACAGGUGCUAAUACCGCAUAACAGUUUAUGCCGCAUGGCAUAAGAGUGAAAGGCGCUUUCGGGUGUCGCUGAUGGAUGGACCCGCGGUGCAUUAGCUAGUUGGUGAGGUAACGGCUCACCAAGGCCACGAUGCAUAGCCGACCUGAGAGGGUGAUCGGCCACACUGAGACUGAGACACGGCCCAGACUCCUACGGGAGGCAGCAGUAGGGAAUCUUCGGCAAUGGACGAAAGUCUGACCGAGCAACGCCGCGUGAGUGAAGAAGGUUUUCGGAUCGUAAAACUCUGUUGUUAGAGAAGAACAAGGACGUUAGUAACUGAACGUCCCCUGACGGUAUCUAACCAGAAAGCCACGGCUAACUACGUG
rnacentral:rRNA from 1 species